rnacentral:rRNA from 1 species
UGGGGAAUAUUGGACAAUGGGCGCAAGCCUGAUCCAGCCAUGCCGCGUGUGUGAAGAAGGCCUUUUGGUUGUAAAGCACUUUAAGCGAGGAGGAGGCUACUUGGAUUAAUACUCUAGGAUAGUGGACGUUACUCGCAGAAUAAGCACCGGCUAACUCUGUGCCAGCAGCCGCGGUAAUACAGAGAGUGCGAGCGUUAAUCGGAUUUACUGGGCGUAAAGCGUGCGUAGGCGGCUUCUUAAGUCGGAUGUGAAAUCCCUGAGCUUAACUUAGGAAUUGCAUUCGAUACUGGGAAGCUAGAGUAUGGGAGAGGAUGGUAGAAUUCCAGGUGUAGCGGUGAAAUGCGUAGAGAUCUGGAGGAAUACCGAUGGCGAAGGCAGCCAUCUGGCCUAAUACUGACGCUGAGGUACGAAAGCAUGGGGAGCAAACAGG